rnacentral:rRNA from 1 species
UACAGAGGGGGCAAGCGUUGUUCGGAAUUACUGGGCGUAAAGGGCGCGUAGGCGGCCUUCUAAGUCGAACGUGAAAUCCCCGGGCUCAACCCGGGAACUGCGUCCGAUACUGGAAGGCUUGAAUCCGGGAGAGGGAUGCGGAAUUCCAGGUGUAGCGGUGAAAUGCGUAGAUAUCUGGAGGAACACCGGUGGCGAAGGCGGCAUCCUGGACCAACACUGACGCUGAUGAGCGAGAGCCAGGGGAGCAAACGGG